rnacentral:miRNA from 1 species
UGGGUUGGCCAAAAAGUUCGUUCUGGUUUUUCAUGUCAUGGGAAAACCUGAAAGAACUUUUUGGCCAGCCCAAU